UACUUGAAGAAGAGGAGCACUAGAACAAGUCAAGAAUCGAUGAGACCGGGAAAAUUUGGUCUUUCUUAGUCUUUGUUUCAUUCCCGUUACACGACAAUGAAGCAAAGAGGGGUAGCUGUACAGCCCAAAAUUUACCCGGGGCCUAAACCUAACCCGAAGCCCAAAUUAACAAAAACACCCAAUACCCCAAAAUAGCCCAAAAAGCCCAAUUCUCUAAACCCAAAUCCCGAAUGGCCCAAAUCCAAAACAAAAAAGAAAAAAAUCUAAUCACCCUAACCCUAGCCUAGCGCCGCACCUAGCCUACUUGCCCUCUGCCACCGCCUCUUGCAGCCCCCUGCCCACUUGCCACCGCCACGGUCACGUCGCCACCGCCACAAGCACCUGUAAACAAGUCAAGAGCAACAGUAAUAUUUGAUAGAAAAGAAAAAUA
rnacentral:lncRNA from 1 species